rnacentral:rRNA from 1 species
UCCUGGAAACGGGUGGUAAUACCGGAUGCUCCGCCCCACCGCAUGGUGGGGUGGGAAAUGCUUUUUGCGGCAUGGGAUGGGGUCGCGUCCUAUCAGCUUGUUGGCGGGGUGAUGGCCCACCAAGGCGUUGACGGGUAGCCGGCCUGAGAGGGUGACCGGCCACAUUGGGACUGAGAUACGGCCCAGACUCCUACGGGAGGCAGCAGUGGGGAAUAUUGCACAAUGGGCGCAAGCCUGAUGCAGCGACGCCGCGUGCGGGAUGGAGGCCUUCGGGUUGUAAACCGCUUUUGUUCAAGGGCAAGGCACGGCUUCGGGCCGUGUUGAGUGGAUUGUUCGAAUAAGCACCGGCUAACUACGUGCCAGCAGCCGCGGUAAUACGUAGGGUGCGAGCGUUAUCCGGAUUUAUUGGGCGUAAAGGGCUCGUAGGCGGUUCGUCGCGUCCGGUGUGAAAGUCCAUCGCCUACCGGUGGAUCUGCGCCGGGUACGGGCGGGCUGGAGUGCGGUAGGGGAGACUGGAAUUCCCGGUGUAACGGUGGAAUGUGUAGAUAUCGGGAAGAACACC